CCGGUUUCGAGGUAUAAAAGUUUUGAAAUGAAGCUAUCUCAUCACUAGUAAGAACAUUAUUGUGAGAAAAUCACAUCUUAGGAUUUACUGGAUUACUCUUAUAAGGUGAUCGAGAUGUUUGCAAAGGUACUUCUUCUAGCUUCACUGUCUGUUGCAAUGUUCUACAACGUCGCUAGUGAAGCUUCGGUGAAGCCAAUAUCCCAAAAAUCAGAACGACAAAUAGCUACUUCCCCACCUCUACUGCCUCCAAGCAUCGGUAGUGGAAUCGGAGGACUAGCUGGUAUCAUACCUGCAGUUUUACCCAUAAUUUUUAUACUCGGUAUUGGAGCUUUCUUACUUCCAGCAAUUGGUCUUCUGUUGUUCGGAAGCUCAGGCGGAUUUGGUGGAUUUUUUGACGGCUUCAGCAAGAAAAGAUCUUCAAACCUGGGAGUUGAUCAUCCUCUUUUCUCCACAGAAAAACUUAUUGAGCUGAUUCAAACAGUCACGAAAGCUUUGGAAGAAGCGUCAAAAGAAGGAUAAACUGAAUAUUUUUCACAUCUAAUGGUUCUGAAAUUAAGAUUUUGGAUCUUUUAAUGCACAAACCUAACAAAGUUGAAAAUAUGGAAUAUGGAAUUCACAACUAUGAAAAAAAACAUCGUACAAAGAUUAGAACUUCGUUACAGUCGAAUGAAGGAAAACGAAAGUUGUAUAAAUAAAUAUUUUCUCUAAA